rnacentral:misc_RNA from 1 species
UGUCUUUUACAUUAACCUAAUUAAAUGCACCUGUACAGAAGGUUUAGCAAAUUGAAAUUGCAGGAGAAAAGAAAGCAAUGAGCAGAUUUAGGCUGAAAAAAAGACUUAGUGGUCCCAAGUCUUUUUAAAGAUGUAGGUGAAUAGAAGAAAAUGAUUUAUAUGGUCAAUUCCAACAAGCUUGGGACUUGGGUGCAACGCUUAAUUUAGUUGAGUACAGUAGCAAAAUCAAGAAAGAUAUCAAAACAAGGUGGCAAGGGAUAGCAUGUAACAUCACAAUAAAGGAAAGAAAAAGAGAAAUAUGUUUUUAGCUGUAAUUUUUAACUUGUAUGCCACUUACCUUUCUUAGGAGUAAGUGUCGGUUCAUUUUGAAAUGUGUGGAAAGCAAAUAAACUGAAUUAUGUAGAAGUGAAAGUCACACUAGAUAAGGAAGAAAAGCA